rnacentral:misc_RNA from 1 species
AAGUCGUAACAAGGUUUCCGUAGGUGAACCUGCGGAAGGAUCAUUAACUGACUGGUUGGUGGGGUGGGUGUAGGUGUCUAUCCACUCUACUGGUGUGGUAUGGAUGGGCACGCCUCGCUCUCACUACAAUAGACGCAAGACAGCUAUUGCAGUUGUCUUGAUGUUCACGCUUGUACAUGUUUGACAAAUAGAUGGAUAGAUGGAUGUAUGAUAACUUUUAACAAUGGAUCUCUUGGCUCUU